rnacentral:lncRNA from 1 species
GAGGAACUGAACAUGCAUUGGGGUCGGAGGACGCUUGGAAAACAUGAAUUCUUUAAAUUUCCAGGCUUGGGGAAGACGCAGUCAUGGCGGAGGAAGGCAGGGCUGAGCAGCUUCCUUGGCUGCUGGGUUCCAGUGAGGUCAGUCAGGUGCGCUGGCCCAGGCUGCUGGCUGCCAUAGGGAAUAGUCCCUGUGGCCUUUGCAGCCCUGAGCUGAGUGGCCUCGCGCGCGGAGCUGUGGACCGAAGGACCUGCGUGGUGGUGGGUCAAGCCUGCCGAGUUCGAGAUGAAGUUGCAGGUGGAGACGGAGGUGAC